UCAAAGGCAAUGAAGAGAAAAAGUAAAAUGCUUUGUUUUUUGACAGAGAGCUUCGGUAGCUGAAAAGAAGUAAAAACACUCAUUUGAACAAUGGUCUCUGAGCUUCGUACUGAACAUACUUUAGUAUUAGUAGGAUACGACGAGUUUUGGCACUCGUUAUCAAUGUCACAGUAUAAGAGUAACUUUGUUUACUCCGUACUUGCUGAGGCAAAUGGUGUGAGCCAUUUGCGAAAUAAGGUGGUAUCACGUGGAAUAUAAACCUCGUCCUUAAC
rnacentral:ncRNA from 1 species